AAAUAAGAAUAUUGGUGUGAAUCAAUAUUUUCUCAUUUGAAUAUUUGCAUUAAAAAUUUUA
rnacentral:sRNA from 1 species